rnacentral:lncRNA from 12 species
GAGGUUCCUUAUGUAGCACACAUUGGCAUGUCAAGGUCAAGGUCUGAUUUUGGUUUUAGGUGACAGCAGACAAGGUAAUGUGGCAAAUAUACAGGGUACACAAUGACUAGGAGGCCUAGAUGCUGUUCCCGUGGGGCCUGGUGGAAGAUGACCCCAGAUCUAACCGCGUAUACAAUCAGCUGCUGAUCAUUCAUCCAUCUCUUAAAGGGGGAUUUCAGGACUGUGGCAGUUUGGCUUGAGGAGACUGCAGAGUCACCACGGCAAGAACAGAAGUGGGGCC